rnacentral:rRNA from 1 species
AAUAGCCUAACGGCUGAACCAGCAACUUGGAGGAAUGAAUGGCGAAAGCUAAUUGUACUUUAUUGGUGCAAUAUCGAUUUUGUCGAAUAAAAUUCUGGGUGGAAUAUAUGAUGAUGACAUUUUCUGCCUAUAUUUCUUGACCAAACUACGUGCCAGCAGUCGCGGUAAUACGUUACAGAUAAGUGUUAUUCAUCUUUAUUGGGUUUAAAGGGUACCUAGACGGUAAAUUAAGCCGGUUUAUACUAAGGUACUAAUUUACUAGAGUUUAAUGUGAUGGGGCUAAGAUGUACUGCAGGUGGAGAAAUGAAAUUCUAUUAUACCCUCUCUCUACCGGGAGACCAUAUGGCACAGCCAGAGGCGAAAGCAUCUCUUUAUGUAUUAACUGACGUUGAGGGACGAAGGCUCUAUAUAACAAAAAGGAUUAGGUACCCAAGUAGUUGGAAGCAGAAAAUGAUGAGUGUCAUAGAUUAGAUAAAUGUUUAUUCUAUAAAUGAUAGUGUAAGCACUCCACCUCAAGAGUAAUUUGGCAACAUUGGAACUGAAAUCAUUAGACCGUUUCUGAAACCAGUAGUGAAGUAUGUUGUUUAAUUUGAUAAUCCGCAAAAAACCUUACCACAGUUUGAAUAUUUACUAUUUAUAUAUAUGUAAAAACAAGCGUUGCAUGGUUGUCUUCAGUUAAUGUCGUAAGACUAUGGUUAGUGCCAUGAAAUUAACGUAAACCCUUAUUUUAUUUUUUAUAUAAAAUAGUUCCCCUUUAUAUGGGAAAUAAUAACAGGGAUCAAGACAAGCCAUCAUGACCUUACACCUUAAUAAAAUAAGGGAAAAACGAUACUGUGGGCU